CCGCGGUCAAGACGGAGGAUGCAAGCGUUAACCGGAAUGAUUGGGCGUAAAGCGUCCGCAGGUGGCAGUUCAAGUCUGCUGUCAAAGACCGGGGCUCAACCUCGGAAAGGCAGUAGAAACUGAACAGCUAGAGUAUGGUAGGGGCAAAGGGAAUUCCUGGUGUAGCGGUGAAAUGCGUAGAGAUCAGGAAGAACAUCGGUGGCGAAGGCGCUUUGCUGGACCAUAACUGGCACUCAGGGACGAAAGCUAGGGGAGCGAAUGGGAUUAGAUACCCCAGUAGUCCUAGCCGUAAACGAUGGAUACUAGGUGUUGUCUGUAUCGACCCGGACAGUGCCGUAGCUAACGCGUUAAGUAUCCCGCCUGGGGAGUACGCACGCAAGUGUGAAACUCAAAGGAAUUGACGGGGGCCCGCACAAGCGGUGGAGUAUGUGGUUUAAUUCGAUGCAACGCGAAGAACCCUUACCAGGACUUGACAUGUCGCGAAUCCUUUUUGAAAGAGAGGAGUGCCUUAGGGAGCGGCGAACACAGGUGGUGCAUGGCUGUCGUCAGCUCGUGUCGGUGAGAUGUUGGGUUAAGGUCCCGCAACGAGCGCAACCCUCGUGUUUAGUUGCCAUCAUUAAGUUGGGAACUCGUAAACAGACUGCCGGUGACAAACCGGAGGAAGGUGGGGAUGACGUCAAGUCAGCAUGCCCCUUACGUCCUGGGCUACACACGUACUACAAUGGUAGGGACAGAGGGCAGCCAACUCGCGAGAGUGAGCUAAUCCCGUAAACCCUGCCUCAGUUCAGAUUGCAGGCUGCAACUCGCCUGCAUGAAGGCGGAAUCGACUAGUAAUCGCAGGUCAGCAUAC
rnacentral:rRNA from 1 species